AACGCACCUUGCGCUCCUUGGUAUUCCGAGGAGCAUGCCUGUUUGAGAGUCAUUAAAUUCUCAACUCUCCAGCGGUUGUCAUGACCGCCGGUUGAGCUUGGAUGUGAGGGUCUGCCGGCUCCUUGUCGAGUCUGGCUCCCUUGAAAAUUAUUAGCGCAGCUUUGCACUGUCCGCUGCAGGUGUGAUAAUCUAUCUACGCCUGGUUAGCGACGCGCAUGAAUGGCUUUGUGCUUCUAAUCGUCUUCGGACAAUUUUUUGAACUUGACCUCAAAUCAGGUAGGACUACCCGCUGAACUUAA
rnacentral:misc_RNA from 1 species